rnacentral:rRNA from 1 species
CAAUAGCGUACAUUAAAGUUGUUGCAGUUAAAAAGCUCGUAGUUGGAUUUCUGGUAGGAGUGGCCGUUCCGAACUUGAUUGUUCGUGUAUUGUGUUUUCUCCAGCCAUCCUUGUGGAGAACUUUUCUUGCAUUAAUUUGUAGGGAUUGGGACCCGCAUCGUUUACUGUGAAAAAAUUAGAGUGUUUAAAGCAGGCAAUCGCUUGAAUACAUUAGCAUGGAAUAAUAAGAUAGGACUUUGGUACUAUUUUGUUGGUUUGCAUACCAAAUUAAUGAUCAACAGGAACAGUUUGAGGAUAUUCGUAUGAACAUGUCAGAGGUGAAAUUCUUGGAUUUUGAUCAGACGAACUACUGCGAAAGCAUUUAUCAAGGAUGUUUUCAUUAA